UACGAAGGGUGCUAGCGUUGUUCGGAAUCACUGGGCGUAAAGCGCGCGUAGGCGGUUUAACAAGUCAGGGGUGAAAGCCUGGAGCUUAACUCCAGAACUGCCUUUGAAACUGUUAAACUAGAGUGUCGGAGGGGAUAGCGGAAUUGCUAAUGUAGAGGUGAAAUUCGUAGAUAUUAGCAGGAACACCGGUGGCGAAGGCGGCUAUCUGGACGACAACUGACGCUGAGGCGCGAAAGCGUGGGGAUCAAACAGG
rnacentral:rRNA from 1 species